GUAGGUGAACCUGCGGAAGGAUCAUUAGUGAAUGCCUGGGCUGUCAUACGGACUGCGGUCUCUGACGCCCACCCACUAUAUCCGCAAACCCUGUGCACUGUGGUGUUGUCUUGGACACACCUCGCCAACCAACUCGUCUUUGUAUCUGUACGUGUCUACUUGGCCUAAGCCAAAAAUCAACACAACUUUCGACAACGGAUCUCUUGGUUCUC
rnacentral:misc_RNA from 1 species